ensembl:lncRNA
GCCCGGAUCUGCAGCGCUUCGUUUUAUUCCACGCUCCGUCGUUGAUUUUUGCCUUCGUCUUACGGGCCGUUCCCCCUCCCCGUCACAUGCAUGGAGCCUCCGUCAGACGCUGCUGGUGCUCCUAACGUCGGCGUCGCGACGGAAGCGAAGGGGCUGCAAUGGAAGGAUGGGCACGGCCCGUAUGCUGGGCACCGACAGGGAGGGUUUCCUAUGGCGGACGAAGCCUGGCUGCACACAUUGGUCACCGAGGACCCAAACACGGCCGACUGUGGGGGUUCAGAGCGCUGCAGUCGCAGCACUGCGGGGACAAACUGCCUGGGUGUUCGGGGAAGGGUGGCAAAGCAUCUCCCCCUCUCCGUUUUAUGGCCUUGCUGGGGGAGGCCCGGCUUUGUUCUUACCUGGGUUCGAGCCCCAAGCGGGGCACGAAGCCGUCUGACCCCGGGGAGGGGUCAUGAGGAGGGUUUCGCCCCCGUGUGGGUGCCCUGAGUGAGGCACGGCCUCCGCCCCCCCCGUCAUGUGCCUCCCCACUCACGUGUCAGCCCAGCACCCCCCUCCUCACCCAGCAAAGGACCCUCUGUUCUUUCCUUCCCCCCUGCGCUGCUCUGUCUGAUGACCAGGAGGCUCUGUGAUUUAUCUCGUCCCCACCGCCCCGCGUUUAUUUCAUGUCUGUCCAAAGGGCUGCACGCAGACAAGGGCUCCCUGUGAUAAACCCGCUUUGAUGGUCCCCUUGACAUCUUUCCAUCAUGUGUCAGCAGCAUCCACCGUGACCGGGACGCCACAAUAACAGCCCUAUGCAGAGCCAAGGCUGGGUCACAUGCAUGGCUGCAGGGAGAGGAGAUGAUGUUCAUAAUGGCAAAGCCAUUAUAAAUAUCUUCAGAUGGCUGAUGAUUCCUCUUCCUUACACUUAAUGCAUGUGCAAGCCCCAUUUAGCUGGACCACAGACCAAGCCAGAGGCUAUGCACAAGAAAAACUUGGAUCAGGGCAACUUUUUAUAGCCUCGAUGGGGGAAAACUUUCUCCUGCAGAGCCAUUUUUCCUCCUGUCACAUGGUGGCCCCUCAUGACAUGCAUGAUCUACAACCAGCCACUGGCACGCUGAGGCUUUGUGGGGUCAGUGCAUCACCACCAAGCCAUGCAAGCGUGUCCUGUGCUUUAGAUGCGUUCCCUGUCCCAGUCCUGUAUGUAUUCAGAUAAGUAGUACUGCUUGCUUAGAACUAAGCGUGUGUAUUUAGUUACUGAAUCGUGGCUUAAAGGAAUUAGAGUCAGAUAAUGACUGCAGUUAUUCUCAUUUAUGUAUGUAAUGACUUCUCUAGAGGAGAUAACAGCUCACUUCCACAGCUCAACCACAGAGCAGAUAUGAACACAGAUAAUUCCGCUCUGUGUUGAUGGUGUUCCCAGUUGCAAGUUAGCCAAGGUCUCUGAGAAGGGAUUCAAGCUGACAGCUGUAAAUCCCUGCAGAGUCAAUGGCAUUCGAGUGGCAAUGGAGCACCCAAUGGCAUUUAAUGUUGGUGAACUGCUUCGUUGCAGUGGCUACUUGCCUGCCAAGGAUCAUUGGCCAUGACCUGGGAGUUGCUCAGGACCAAAAUAGAAAGAUUUCACUUGAUGGAUGUUCACCUCCUGCAUCCCUUCCAAAAUAUAAACCAUUCCAUUUCAUGGGUGUUUGUGUCCUGCACACCUUAUGCUGCACGACGUGUGGUUGGGAUGGG